rnacentral:sRNA from 1 species
UGUAAAGAAGACAAGAACAAAAAUAAC